rnacentral:rRNA from 1 species
GACGAACGCUGGCGGCGUGCUUAACACAUGCAAGUCGAACGGUAAGGCCCUUCGGGGUACACGAGUGGCGAACGGGUGAGUAACACGUGGGUGAUCUGCCCUGCACUUCGGGAUAAGCCUGGGAAACUGGGUCUAAUACCGGAUAGGACUCCUGCCUGCAUGGGUGGGGGUGGAAAGCUUUUGCGGUGUGGGAUGGGCCCGCGGCCUCUCAGCCUGUUGGUGGGGUGAUGGCCUACCAAGGCGACGACGGGUAGCCGGCCUGAGAGGGUGACCGGCGACACUGGGACUGAGAUACAGCCCAGACUCCUACGGGAGGCAGCAGUGGGGAAUAUUGCACAAUGGGCGCAAGCCUGAUGCAGCGACGCCGCGUGAGGGAUGACGGCCUUCGGGUUGUAAACCUCUUUCAGCACAGACGAAGCGCAAGUGACGGUAUGUGCAGAAGAAGGACCGGCCAACUACGUGCCAGCCGCCGCCGUAA